UACGGAGGGUGCAAGCGUUAUCCGGAUUCACUGGGUUUAAAGGGUGCGUAGGCGGGUAUGUAAGUCCGUGGUGAAAUCCUGCAGCUUAACUGCAGAACUGCCGUGGAUACUAUAUAUCUUGAAUAUCGUGGAGGUUAGUGGAAUAGGUCAUGUAGCGGUGAAAUGCUUAGAGAUGACAUGGAACACCGAUUGCGAAGGCAGCUGGCUACACGAUAAUUGACGCUGAGGCACGAAAGCGUGGGUAGCAAACAGGAUUAGAUACCCUGGUAGUCCACGCCCUAAACGAUGGAUACUCGACAUCAGCGAUAUUACUGUUGGUGUCUGAGCGAAAGCAUUAAGUAUCCCACCUGGGAAGUACGAUCGCAAGAUUGAA
rnacentral:rRNA from 1 species